GAUGAACGCUGGCGGCGUGCCUAACACAUGCAAGUCGAGCGAUUCUCUUCGGAGAAGAGCGGCGGACGGGUGAGCAACGCGUGGGUAACCUGCCCUGUACACACGGAUAACAUACCGAAAGGUAUGCUAAUACGAGAUAAUAUGCUUUUAUCGCAUGGUAGAAGUAUCAAAGCUCCGGCGGUACAGGAUGGACCCGCGUCUGAUUAGCUAGUUGGUAAGGUAACGGCCUACCAAGGCGACGAUCAGUAGCCGACCUGAGAGGGUGAUCGGCCACAUUGGAACGGAGCCACGGUCCAAACUCCUACGGGAGGCAGCAGUGGGGAAUAUUGCACAAUGGGCGAAAGCCUGAUGCAGCAACGCCGCGUGAGCGAUGAAGGCCUUCGGGUCGUAAAGCUCUGUCCUCAAGGAAGAUAAUGACGGUACUUGAGGAGGAAGCCCCGGCUAACUACGUGCCAGCCGCCGCGGUAA
rnacentral:rRNA from 1 species